CUAAACUAAAAAUAGGAUAGUUUUAACAUGAAUAUUUUAUUUUCUUAUAUGCCAGAAUACUGGAGUGGGUAGCCUUUCCCUUCUCCAGGGGAUCUUCCCAUCCCAGGGAUGGAAUCCAGGUCUCCCACAUUGCAGGCAGAUUCUUUACCACCUGAGCCACCAGAGAAGACAUUGAUUACCGGCAGAUAGAUCAUCCCUGACAUACCAGCCAGAGUAGCUCACUGUCUCAUUGGAGAGGCAGCCAUGUAUACAUCUGGCUAAAAUAAUUCCUGAAGACAAUGACACGGGCUGAGAAGAGGAAACAGCACAGUGCUAUGGAAACACAAGAGUGAGGUCUCUAUUGAAAAGACCCUGAUGCUGCGAAAGAUUGAAGGCAGGAGGAGAAGGGGACGACAGAGGAUGAGAUGGUUGGAUGGCAUCACUGACUCAAUGGAUAUGAGUUUGAAAAUCGCACUAUAUGGAAACAUAAAGAAUGAAAUGUACAAGUUCUUGUCAUUCAUCUCCUAAUCACAUUCUGGUCUCUGGAAAUCAAAUUUGGUUUUGCGA
ensembl:lncRNA